GGAUAGCUCAGCUGGUUAGAGCAUGGUGCUGAUAAUGCCAAGGUUGCAGGUUCGGAUUCCCAUUUGGGGCA